rnacentral:ncRNA from 1 species
ACGAGGAAGCCGGUGAGAAUCCGGCACGGUCGCGCCACUGUGAACGGGAUUUCCGUGAGUCAGGAACUC